rnacentral:tRNA from 1 species
GGCACUGUAGCUCAAGUGGUAGAGUGCUUGCUUUGAGCUCAAGAGAUCAGGGACAGUGCCC